rnacentral:lncRNA from 1 species
AGUGAUGGUCCUGAGAAGGGGCCAGGUCCUGUCAUGGGCACGAGCAGGGCCCGGAACAAGCCUUGUCCCUGGCUCCAUGGGUUGCAGAUCAGAAAUCAGCCUGAAAUGGAUGCAAAUCUUCAGGUCUUCUUCCUUCAAGGAAGGCGAUAAAGAUACAUAAAGAGGGAGUGGGGGUGGUACGUCCAUCAGAGACAGAGAUGGAGAGGGCAAAGAGCCGACAGGCACAGCUCCCUUAUUUUCCAAGUGGGUUGAAAAGGUGUGUUUGGGGCUGGGAGCUGUGCCUGUGCUUCCCUGUCCCUUUGUCCUCUGCACUUUUGCUUCUUGCCUUGUGGGCAUCUUGUCAGUGAUGGCAGUACUGAGUAGUACCAAGCAUCACUGAGAAUCCCUGGGGAGUACUGAGCAUCACUGGGCAGUACUAAGCAUCGCUGAGCAGUACUGAGCAUCACUGAACAUCACUCACUGGCAAAUGGGGUUCUGGGAAUGGGAAGAAUUGGUGCCCCACAACCUGCGCUGCUCUUAGUCGCAUGGUCACCUGCACAAGUCGUUUACACAAGGUGUGUCUUGGUUUGGGCCUGUGUAAAGUGGGGGAAGUAUCGCUGUCUUCCUUCUGGGGGUGCUGGAGAGAGUGCAGUGAGUUAUGCCACGUCAAACACUUCACCUGACCAGGUAGUGAUACUGGAACACCACCGUAAGCGCUCAGUAAACAUCACACACACACACACACACACACACACACACGCAUCAACAAGCUCGCCCGCCAUCGCUCCCAUUCCUCCUCUGCUGAUCUCUGUAACCCGUCUCCAUCUCGCCCGCUGUGUAGUCACUUGUUCAUUUGCCUCUUGUUGACUCUCUGCUACCCCCACCCCAUCCUGAGCCCCGCAGAUGCUGAGGUCUCUGUUACUUGUAUUUAAUGCUUUAGUCCCUGGAGCAUGAGUAGGUGCCUAGUAAAUAUGGGCUGAAGGGACGAGUCUCUGUUUUCGAGAUGACCUCCAGGCCCAGACUCAGGCAGAGGGGUAGAAUAACUUAGCCAAGAUCACUCAGCUACCAGCAGUUGAGGAAUCUGAAAUCAUUUAAAUCUAAUGGCUUCAAUUCUAAUUUAUACCAGUAAUGCCUCUCCACCAGCAAAACAAAAUACAGAAAAGCUAAGCCUAGCACCUGCAACGUGGCAGGGAUUCAGAGAAUGUUAAAUCGGAGUUCCCGUUGUGCCUCAUCUGGUUAAGAACCUGACACUGUCUCUGUGAGGAUACAGGUUCAAUCCCUAGCUUGGUGGGUUAAGGAUCUGGCCUUGCCACAAGCUGCAGGCGUGGGUCACAGAUGCAGCUCGGAUGCAUGUUACUGUGGCUGUGGCAUAGGCCAGCUGCUCUGAUUCGCCUCCCAGCCUGGGUACUUCCAUAUGCUGUAGGUGCCG